rnacentral:rRNA from 1 species
GACGAACGCUGGCGGCGUGCUUAACACAUGCAAGUCGAACGGAAAGGCCCUGCUUUUGUGGGGUUCUCGAUUGGCGAACGGGUGAGUAACACGUGUGUAACCUGCCCUUGACUUUGUGAUAACUUCACGAAACUGGGGCUAUUACCGGAUAUGAGCUCCUGCUGCAUGGUGGUGGUUGGAAAGUUUCGGCGGUUGUGGAUGGACUCGCUGCUUAUCAGCUUGUUGGUGAGGUAGUGGCGUACCAAGGCUUUGACGGGUAGCCGGCCUGAGAGGGUGACCGGGCACAUUGGGACUGAGAGACGGACCAGACUCCUACGGGAGGCAGCAGUGGAGAAUAUUGCACAAUGGGCGGAAGCCUGAUGCAGAAACGCCGGGUGCGGGAUGACGGCCUUCGGGUUGUAAACCGCUUUCGCAUGUGACGAAGCGUGAGUGACGGUAAUGGGUAAAGAAGCACCGGCUAACUACGUG